ensembl:lncRNA
UUAAAUUUUAUUUAUCUUUUCAAAGAACCAGCUCUUAGUUUCAUCGAUCUCUUUUACUGUUUUUCAGUCUCCAUGUCUCUAUUUCAUUUAUUUUCUCUCUGUUUUUCAUUAUUUCCUUCCUUCUACUAAUUUUUCGCUUCAUUUGUUCUAUGCUUUAUGGUUGCUUUCAGUGUAAAGUUAGAUUAUUUAUUUGGGACUUUCUUGAGGUAGGCCUGCAUUGCUAUAAACUUCCCUCUUUGAACCACGUUUGCUGCAUGCUAUGGCUUUUGGUACAUCAUAUUUUUAUUUUCAUUUGUUUCUAGGGAGUUCCCACUGUGGCACAGCAGAAAAGAAUCUGACUAGCAUCCAUGAAGAUGUGGGUUCAAUCCCUAGCCUUGCUCAGUGGGUCAGGGAUCCAGCGUUGCUGUGAGCUGUGGUGUAGGUUGCAGAGGAAGCUUGAAUCCCAUGUUGCUGUCUGUGGCUGUGGCAUAGGCUGGCAGCUACAGCUCGUAUUCAACCCCUAGCCUGGGGACUUCCAUAUGCCACAGGUGCAGCCCUAAAAAGCAAAAAAUAAAAAUAAAUAGCUGUUGCUGUUAUUUAUUACUAUACCAUUGUAUAAGACAAAAGUAAAGUAAAUAGGGAGGAGUAAGCAUAAGAAUAUAAUGUGUAUUAGUAGGUAUGCAGGAUGAGAGGAUGGCAGUGAAAAGGACAAAAAUGAAACCAGCUUUGAUGAAACUAAGAGGGCAGCUUGGGAAACUUCAAUAUUAAGUUUCUGUGAUUUAGAAAAAAAUUCUAGCAACUCAAUAUAGUAUCUCUGGUUGAUUCAUGCUGAUCAGUUCUCAGUUAUGUAAGUUUUUCAUCAAUAAAACUGAGAAAUUAAAAUAUAUUCAUGAUGUCAUAUAUAUCCAAAUAGCUCACCAAGUAAAUGUACAAGACUGUUCAAAGAAGCACUAUUUAUUAGAUCAUCAACUGGAAAAAUGUCCCUGAUGGAUUAAGUGUGCUAUAUCUACACAAUGUAAUGCUAUGCAGAAAUAAGAAGGAAUGAUUUUAACUACACCUAUCAAUAUUAUAAGUCUCACAAAUAAUGGAGUGAAGGAAGCUAAAACUUUUUAAGAGCAUAUACUGUUUUAUUUCAUUUAAACGAAACACAGAAACAGGCAAAUAAAAAGUCUAGAAGUUAGGGUUACAGCUACUGGGAAGAUAGACGACUUCCUGACUAGAAGGGAAUACAAAGAGACUUCUCAAGAUGCUAAUGUGCUCUAUUUCUUGAUUGAAGUGCUAGUUAUAUGGGUGUACCUUCCAUUUGUAAAUUCAUCAAGAUGUAUACUUAACAUAUGUGUACUUUCCUAGAUGUGUAUUAUAUUUCAAUAAAAAAGAUUUUUAAAAUUCAGGGGAAAAGAUGGUAUUGAUGAUGACAAUUUCAUAGGUGAACCUUUUCCAAACCUAGUCUCCCGAGGAAAACUUGGAGUUGAAAAGAGGAAUGAUGUACUAGUUGAAUCACUUACGAAUUUCAGUGGUGGAAAAAAUGCAAUUGAUGUUCAAGAGAUGGUUAAUGCAGCACAAGUGUAUGGAAAUAAAGAAUUCAUAUAUGAAUUAAAAACGAGCCCCAGGUGUGAUUCUGACUGGAAAAAAAUUAUCAUUGGAGAUAAACCUGUGACUCUCAUAAUGAAUGCAUGUCUGGCAUCCACAUAGGACUAGAUUGACUCUGGGCCCAAAAGUUGGCUGAUUUUGAAAUGGAUUUUAAAAAGAACUUUAUUUAAAAGAGUUGACAAGAAACAGCUGCACUUUAUUGUCAGAAUAAAAAUCCAGAAGCAUUCUAAGAUUUCAAAAAAUAUAACAAACUAUAUGACUUCAUCAACCGUUAGAAAAGGCAUUUCUGCCAUGGUUAUAUUCGAUUACCAUUUCUCUCUCCUCAAAAAUCUCCUGCCAUGCCUGUGUUCAGAGAUGCUUCCAGAAAAGUCUAAAGAAAGCAGAAUUUGAAGGAAAGACUAAAAUACUCUUUCAUUUCUGGUGAAAAAUGUUAAUAAAAUCAGAUUUUUUUCCCUUUUGUUAAAUAAGUCUUUUAGCAUAGAGGGCUUAAUAUGAAUUGAGGCAUUUUCUUUAUAAUUUUGUCAUUUUAUUUAUUUAUUUAUUUAUUUAUUUAUUGUGCAUGCCUGUGGCAUUUGGGGGUUCCUAAGCCAGGCAUCAAACCUGUGCCACAGCAGUAACCAUAGUCACAGCAAUGACAACAAUGCAUCAUUAACCUGCCAAGCCACCAGGGAACUCCUUGAGUUGAGGCUUUAUUAUAAAAGCAAAACAACAGAAAAACAUUUUAGACUUUAUCCUGUCAUUUCCUUUGUCCCAGUUUUCAACAUGAAGGAACCUAUUCAAGAAAAUAUAUGUGACUAUUGAUUUAGUUUAGUAAGGGAAAUUAUACCAUCUCUUUGCUAAAAAAAAUGUUUAAGAAAAAAGAUAACUGGCCCUUUUUAAUUGUUUGGAAUUACUUCUCCCCAAAAGGCUGUGGCCAAAUAGGGUGUUUUCCAGAUUUAUGACUUCAUUUUGUUCUCUACUUCCAUAAACAAUAUUGAGAGUCUCUCUUUAAUGGGGUGACACAUUCUGUGCCCGCCAGAAAACGUAAGCUCUAAACCAUAGUGAACAUAAAUAUAGCUUCAAGGGAUUUAGAAAUUGUUUCUACAAAGACUAAGUAAGGUAGACAGUUGAAAAAUUAACUAGCUAAGUCAGGCAAAAAAAUGCUUCUAAUUUUUAAGAGGGAGGGAAAAAAGAUCUUCAGAUUAGCUGUUUUAUUAUCUGCAAAACUACGUGACUGUAUGAGUCUAUACCGUACUUUGUAUAAAUAUAGCUCAAAUGCCUUCUGGUUUAAUAAUAACACUACCUUACAUUUCAAAAAUUUAUAAUUUACAAAAUGAUCUCGUAUACUCACAUAUUAUAUUACAUAUUGAAAAUACUAGGAAUUUGGGGGACAGGACAAUAUCAAUUAAGAUGAAAGAGGAGAAUUAUCAAUUAACAUCAAAGAGGAGAAAUAUCAAUUCAGAUGAAAGGAGAAUUCAGAAAACCAUAGCAUAGUCUGAGAGCUCUUUAGAGACCAUGAGUCCAAAUUCAUCACGCUUCAAAAUAAAGACCAGAACCUACACACCUGAAGAAUGAGAGCUUUUCCAUGCAAUACAGGGUCACCACAACUUUUAGUUUGGUCUUUUCUCUCCAGAGCCCUCCAGUCACUAGAGUAUGAGCUCACACAGCAGGGACGCUACCCAUUUUUCCACCACAUUAUCCCCAGCAUCUAGUGCAACAUCUGGAACCACAGUGGAUACUCAAGUAAAAUGUGUUGAAUGAAUUAAUCUCUGAAAAUACCUUUCUUUUUUAACAUGAACACAGCCAACACUUUCCUGAACCUAAUUUCAAGUUCAUAAUUUUGGAGUUAAUGUGACCUACUCAAAAGUUAAACCAUUCAAAAUAAAGAUUUACAAAAGUAAAUCUGUAUCUUUAAAUGCCCAUCAAGUAUUAUAAUGCAUUAAAUAUUCAAAAUCUAAUUUUUCAAUAUUCACAUUCAUUUAUUCCAUCAAUAGAUUUUUUUUAGCAACCAUUUAUGGAUAAAAUGCUGCUAUUAUUUAAAUAAUAUAAGCCACAAACUAACAAAGAUAAAUUAGAUACUGCUCCCACCAGAAUAAUGUUAAUAUAAUUUCAAAUAUAAAAUUUGUAUUGGAU